AGCGCAGACGGUUGAUUAAGUCUGAUGUGAAAGCCCGGAGCUCAACUCCGGAAUGGCAUUGGAAACUGGUUAACUUGAGUGCAGUAGAGGUAAGUGGAACUCCAUGUGUAGCGGUGGAAUGCGUAGAUAUAUGGAAGAACACCAGUGGCGAAGGCGGCUUACUGGACUGUAGCUGACGUUGAGGCUCGAAAGUGUGGGUAGCAAACA
rnacentral:rRNA from 1 species